rnacentral:rRNA from 1 species
AUUGAAUGCUGGCGGCAGGCCUAACACAUGCAAGUCGGACGGUAGCACAGAGGAGCUUGCUCUUCGGGUGACGAGUGGCGGACGGGUGAGUAAUGUCUGGGAAACUGCCCGAUGGAGGGGGAUAACUACUGGAAGCGGUAGCUAAUACCGCAUAACGUCGCAAGACCAAAGUGGGGGACCUUCGGGCCUCACACCAUCGGAUGUGCCCAGAUGGGAUUAGCUGGUAGGCGGGGUAACGGCCCACCUAGGCGACGAGCCCUAGCUGGUCUGAGAGGAUGACUAGCCACACUGGAACAGAAACACGGUCCAGACUCCUACGGGAGGCAGCAGUGGGGAAUAUUGCACAAUGGGCGCAAGCCUGAUGCAGCCAUGCAGCGUGUAUGAAGAAGGCCUUUGGGUUGUAAAGUACUUUCAGCGGGGAGGAAGGUGCUGAGGUUAAUAAGCUCAGCAAUUGACGUUACCCGCAGAAGAAGCACCGGCUAACUCCGUGCCAGCCGCCGCAGUAA